AAAAUGGUCUCCAGUAUUCUACCUUUCAAAGUACGGAUAUGUGCCUGCCAACAUUUUAGGAUCACUGACAUGAAGCAAGGUAAAUAACAACAACAACAACAACAAUAAUGAUACUAAAGUGGAGAAAAAAAUAAUGUUACUUUUUCCUAAGCAAAAAUAUAUCCAUUUGAAUAAAAGCCUAGAAAAUAAAGGUCACAUUUAAUUUUUCACAAACAACUGGAGCUACAGUUCUCUGCCACCAAGUUUUGUACUCACUUGGAAAAACUUACUAGAAAUUUCAUACUCCACGUAAUGUUCAUCAGCAACUGCUCUUUUAAUAUUUUAUUUUAAAAAUUCCAAAUGGUGAGAAUGAAUUCAUCCUUUUAGCUAUAAUUAGUAACUUCAACGUUCAGCUCUCAUUCCCCUUUAGUUUUGAUCUUCUAAAGAUUUGUAUUUAAUGCCUCUAGUCUUCACAAAUUAUUUAAGCUACAUUUGGAUGGAAGAAUUCCAAAGUUGGAUAUUUGACAUGAUUUUUGUUCAAACUAUUUGAAAGAUAGUUACCCUAUUGUUUAAUUACUUAAAUUCAUGAAUGCAAACAAGAACUUAUUUUAGGUGGAUUUGAAAUUACAACUUUUAGAGCA
rnacentral:misc_RNA from 1 species